UACCUACGGGGCGCAGCAGUGGGGGAUAUUGCACAAUGGGGGAAACCCUGAUGCAGCGACGCCGCGUGAGUGAAGAAGUAUUUCGGUACGUAAAGCUCUAUCAGCAGGGAAGAAUAAUGACGGUACCUGACUAAGAAGCCCCGGCUAACUACGUGCCAGCAGCCGCGGUAAUACGUAGGGGGCAAGCGUUAUCCGGAUUUACUGGGUGUAAAGGGAGCGUAGACGGCUGAGCAAGUCUGAAGUGAAAUGCCGGGGCCCAACCCCG
rnacentral:rRNA from 1 species